UAGGAGAUAAAUACGGCCUCAUGCUUCAACAACACCCUCUUUUGUUGGAGACGUCGAGAAGCUAGAGUUCCCCCAUUGAAAGCCUGGUGAUAGAAACAAGGUAGCAGCGAUUGUUGAAACCCGGAGUUCCCACUUUUGAAGCAUCGUGUUGGGAAAAUGUAAGCUGUUUGUUUGGCAUUGCUUAAAAACAUUAAAGACUGGUGUCAAUAUUUGGUACUAAUUUUUAUUUUAUUUGUGUAUAUACUUAACCUGAAACCCAGAUGUUUACAACUUUUUUUUUUUUUUUUUUUUUUUCUAUGGAGUUGACAGAGUUGACAUUUUGGUUCCUUGUACAAUUUGUGUGUUCUAGACAAACUUGAAGCUAGGGUGUGUAAUCCAGAGAGGAUAGCAGUUAGCAAGGUAGCUCUGAAAGCAUAGAGCCGUCCUCGCUGCAGAGGUGUCUCCAAAGCCAAGCAACACCGUCUUUCCUCUUACUGGAGGUUUUACAUAAGGUAGCUGCGGUUCGCCUUCCAUUCUCGCGCUCGCUCUGCACAGCGUAAAGGAACUCGCGCGGAUGACGUGUGAUUUUUGUCUGCGCGAACAAGGUGCGCGGCGGUAUGCAAAUAUAGAUUGACAGACAGGAAGGACAUAUUACAUUCGGACCGAAUGCGAUAAUUGGUCGAUCACUUUUUUAGUCCUGUCCCUUCCACAGGAAUUUAUUUUUAUUUGAACAUUUUAGACCACUUAAAUUGAUUACUUUAAGGAUGUGAAGAGACUUCAACCAGUAUAAACAAAGUCUUUCUGGAGAAGACUGCACACCCUAGCUUUAAUUGUGUGUAUAUAAUAGGUCAGUUAAGACCUUUUUGUAUGGGUUUUGUCAUGGAAAUUUGUACGUUUGAACAAUGUUCCACUUUGAGCUCAAUGCUGUUUCAUGUUAACCAGGUUGUGUAAAGGCUAUUAAACUUGUACAUUUCUUUACAUUGAUUGUUUUAAACUGCUACAAUAAAGUUUCUUGACCCAUAUCUAGCGACUUGUUUAUGCUUCUGUAUAAUAUUCAAACUACAUAAGUUUACAAUUGUACCACACCAAAAGAGGAUUAAACAUGUCCUGUUACACGACUAA